rnacentral:tRNA from 1 species
GGAGGGCAUAGCCGCAAGGCGCGGCCUCGGCUUGACACGCACGAGAUCCCUGAAAGGGGAUGAGGUUCGAGUCCUCUGCCCUCCGCCA